rnacentral:rRNA from 1 species
AGAGUUUGAUCCUGGCUCAGGACGAACGCUGGCGGCGCGCUUAACACAUGCAAGUCGAGCGAGAACCAGCCCUUCGGGGCUGGGGAAAGCGGCGAACGGGUGAGUAACACGUGGGUAAUCUGCCCUCGGCACUGGGAUAGCCCGGGGAAACCCGGAUUAAUACCGGAUAGCCUGUCGAGCCCUUGGGCCCGACAGAAAAGGUGGCUUCGGCUUCCGGCUGAGGAUGAGCCCGCGGCGGAUUAGCUUGUUGGUGGGGUAAUGGCCCACCAAGGCGACGAUCCGUAGCUGGUCUGAGAGGACGAUCAGCCACACUGGGACUGAGACACGGUCCAGACACCUACGGGUGGCAGCAGUCGAGAAUUUUUCACAAUGGGGGCAACCCUGAUGGAGCGACGCCGCGUGGAGGAUGAAGGGAUUCGUCUUGUAAACUCCUGUCACUGGGGAAAAAAGUUCCGAUUCUAAUAAACUCGGAAUUGAUGUUACCCAGAGAGGAAGAGACGGCUAACUCUGUGCCAGCAGCCGCGGUAAUACAGAGGUCUCAAGCGUUGUUCGGAUUUACUGGGCGUAAAGGGUGCGUAGGAGGUUUUCUAAGUCAAAUGUGAAAUCCCACAGCUCAACUGUGGAACUGCAUUUGAUACUGGAGAGCUGGAGGGUCGGAGAGGUUGCUGGAAUUCUCGGUGUAGCGGUGAAAUGCGUAGAGAUCGAGAGGAACACCAAUGGCGAAAGCAAGCAACUGGAAGAACCCUGACUCUGAGGCACGAAAGCUAGGGGAGCAAACGGGAUUAGAUACCCCCGUAGUCC